UCUGCCUUUCGCAUCGACCCUUCCCUAUCGCACCAAAACGGAGCUCCCCUCCAUACCGAGAAGAGAAGAGACGAAGCAAACGAGGAGCGGACCACCAAGGCACCCCUCGCCCCCUCCCCCGCGCGAUCUGAUCCACCCGCCGGAGGUCCGGCCCGGCCGUUCAGGCCAAUGCUGCGGGGAUCCGCCCUCCGCCGCCGCCGCUGCUGAUCGCGGAUUUGAUUAGUACGGACAUUGGAUGAAGUGUGUACUGAUCUAUGGAAGUGGAUACUCUACAAGGUGCUCAGGAGACUAAGAAUGGAGAGAAUGACUUUGAAGAGAAUGGCAGUUUGGAUCCCGUGGUUUACCAGCUAGUUCGGGUUGAAGGUGAUGGAACGCUUGUUCCUCCUACGGAGGACGAAGUCCUGCAGAUUGAACAGUUUCUUGAUGACAAGGUUGAUCUGCCUUCUAUUGAUGAUGUAGGAAAUGUGGAGGAUUUUUUUACUAAUGACUGCAUGCUUCUGAAGGAGCCUGACUUUGAAGAGGGCUAUUCCGAAUUAGAGACUAAUGGUGAAAUACAUACGCAACAGUUUGAUGCUGACCUAGAGGUAGACAGGCUAAAACCGUCGGAUGACUCGCUUGAUAUUCCCUCGAAGUGUACAGUUGUUCAUGAUCACAAACCAGAUAAACUGAACACGGAACAAGGCGAUAACAACAUUGUUCACCAGGACAAUGCUUCCACUGAGACUCCAAAAUCAACAGUAUUAAAUGACUCUUGCAGUGCUGAAAAAGAAAAGGCCGAUGCUUGUUCAAGAUCUGUAAAUAACUCAUCUACAGGACCAUCUGUCUCUGGAGUUACUAGUUCAGUUCCCGACUUCUCCAUUUUAAGAGGGGAAGUCUGUUUGGAUAAUCUUACAAUUAGAGAACUCCAGGAAGCAUUUAGAGCCACAUUUGGGCGCGAAACUACUGUCAAGGACAAGCUAUGGCUCAAAAGACGGAUUACAAUGGGACUGACCAAUUCCUGCGAUGUUCAAAGUUCAGGCUGUGUAGUUAAAGAUUAUAAAAUAGUUUGCAAGGAUGCCAAACACAAGCUACCUACAAUUGAAGGAUUACCUAAGGUUGAGGUUGAAGCUACUUCUUUGGUUAGGUUUCAAGUAUUGGGUUCUGGAAAUGAGAGAGACACAUCAUCUUGCUCUUACUAUCGGAGUGAGGACCAACAGCGAUCCUCCAAUAGGCUAAAAGGAGUAUCAACAGACAACGAUGAAUCAGAAGGAACUUUGCAGGAUGAACAAGGCGCCGCUAAGAGACUUCGAAAACCAACAAAAAGAUACAUUGAGGAGCUCGCAGAUACCGAGACACUUGACUCCACUGGGAAGCUUUCUUCACCAGGAAAAAGGGCUGCACAUGGUGAGGUGUUACUCAGACAACGGGUUACUCCUUUACAAGAAGUUGAUUCAUUGAGUAUAACUUAUCCUACCCGGAAGGAUACUUUUGGAGGAUUUAGUGUACAUGUUCCUUAUGCGUCAAGGAUGAGAAGAGGGCGUCCCCGGAGAAACUUCAUUUCAUUUUUGGAUGACGAUCCACCGGUGGAAUGUCCUGAGGUUCAGAUGGCAGUUGAGACGAUGUUGGGAAAAGAUGGUGAACAUGUGAAUCAUAAAAAUGCUGAGAAGAAAGGAGGGCAUAUAGAAACAGCUGAGAAGAAAGGAGGGCAUAUAGAAACAGCUGAGAAGAAAGGAGGGCAUAUAGAAACAGCUGAUAACAAGGAGAUUCGUUCCAUAGAAGCAGACGAUAUUUGCAGAACUGAUGCCAAAACAAAAACAAAGCGGGGUUUGAAGCGGAAGCAUCAUCGAGCAUGGACAUUGUCCGAAGUUCUGAAGCUGGUCGAUGGCGUGGCUCAGUUCGGGCCUGGCAAAUGGUCUGAGAUUAGAAGACUAUCCUUUGCCUCAUAUUCUUACCGCACCUCAGUGGAUCUCAAGGAUAAGUGGCGCAAUCUGCUAAGAGCCAGCCAGACACAGCUUUCGCCGGAAAACGAUGGUGUUUGUCCGCGGAAAAGCAACCCUUCGAUCAUACCAAUACCACCGGCCAUUUUGCUACGAGUGAAAGAGCUAGCUGAGCUUCAGCCGCAAGCCGGCAACCUGGCGGCGGCAAUCAAGUUCUCAGGGCAGAGCAGCAAGGUGGCACAGGGGAGAGGUUCGUCGGGGUUCCUGUGAUCCAUGUGCUGCAAGGCAAGUAGAUGAAAAAAACAUCCGAGAGAGAUAGUAGGUGUAGUACGCUUGUGGACGACGAACACACAUAUUAUCGCGACGAAGUUGUAAUCGCGUUCUCCAUGUGCAAUGUAAAUAAUCUACCGCGCCUGCAAAAUGCAAUGCAAUGCCUUCUCAUCUGGUUUCCUUCGCAGCAUGUAUUUGUGUACAGUAUGUUCAUAGAGAUUGCCAUACGUUCGAGGUAGGUCAUACUGAAGGUAUGCAUAUAAUGGUGCAAGUGCAUCGGCAAUGGAAUAAAAACACAAAAUUG
rnacentral:rRNA from 1 species